CUCCUUCCCAGCCUAGACGCCGUCCCACACCAAGACACAAGACUCUUCCCUGUGUGCAGCUGGAGGGCAGUUUCCACAACGAAGGAUACCAGCUGGAGCCAGGUGCCUGCUGCUCACAUCAUCAUGUUAUUAUUAUUAUUCUAUUUCUCUAUCAAGCCUGCUGUUCUACAAGCAAGGGUAAUGUGUGAACUAUCAGCAGUCUCAGGGUGGAAGUUCUGAAUCCAGCCUGGUGAUGAAGCCCCAUGAAACAAUGACUUGAUUUACAUGCGGGGAAACUUUCAGGACAUUUGUCUACUGUCAUGACUUAUUUAAGGUGGUACAGCUGGAUUAAUAUUUUAGAUAGUUUUGGUUUCUGUUUAGUUUAUGUUUGAAUAACAAUAUAACAAAUUAUACAAAAACAAUCAAAUACAACAUGAAGUUUCAAAGCAGGAAUUGUUAAAUUAAAUAUAAACCAAAACUAUCUAAAAUUGUAAGUCAGCCAUACCACCUUAAAUAAGUCAUGACAGUAGAAGAUAAGUCAUGACAUUUUAAACCAAGCCAGCGUCUCACUUGAUAAAAGCCCUGCCACAUGGAAAACAAAUUGGUGUUAUGAAAAUAGACUUUUUAAUUUUAUGAAAUAUGAAGUUUUUUUCAGCUUUUUUAAGCCUAUCCUUAUAUAUUCAUCCUCUUCAGAUAUACUAGAAAUGGUGUCUAUAGUGUUCUUUCUAGUUUCCUCCGUCCUGCCUGUAUAGUGAUGCAUUAGAUCACAUGCAAUUACAGUACAGCCAUAGCUGAAGGGUUAAUAUGGAUAACAAAAAUACAAUUGUUUGUGUUGUUUUGAGUGGAAUAGUGGGUUUCUAGAUUAGAAUCUGUGAUUGAAAUUACUGAUGUCCCGCAUGUGUUGGCCUUUAUUAAAACACACAACAAAUCUAUUGUUCCUGUCAUCACAAAAUCUCUUUUGAAUCCCCUUCCAGAUUUGAACUUGGAUCCAGAGACAGUGUCCAGUACAGGAUCUGUGCAAACUCUCAGCGCCCCUGUGCAGGCAGACUUCCCAGCGACAGCGUGUGGAAGCGUCAUCGUGGGAGAAGUACAGUCGUGGACAAGUACAACGCAGUUAGAAGCAGUUUGAAAGCAGGUUGACAGUUGCAGAAGCUACACUAAACUAAAAAAAAAAAAAGGUCUUCAAGCCAGUAAUCUGUGACAACUGCAUGAUGUGGGAAAUCCGAGAAAACCCAACAGAGGUCAACCAAGUUUGUGUAAAGUGCCGCACGAUCCAGGACUUGCUUCAGCGAUUAAGCCUGCUAGAAAAGGAGAUGGAGGAAAUGAGACAGCAACAGGAGCUUGAGGAGCUGACACACCCACAAUUCAUGGAAGUCUGCACCCCUAGCAGACUGAAAGCCACCACAGAGAUGGAAGAGAGUCGAAACAGCUGGGUUCAGAUAGGCAGAAGCAGGGAAAAAAAGAAACUUCGUCAAACACAACCACCACAAAAUCCAGACAUCCAACACAUUUGAGCCACUUCAACAUUUAGAUGACCAAAACCAACAUCAAGAGAAUGAAAGAAACAAUACCCAGGACCCUAUAAACAGUGCUGACCAGGCAGCAAAAAGAAGGGAGGUCAUGAUUGUUGGGGACUCCAUACUGAGAAACACAGCAAGUUCAGUUCGCAGUUUGGACCCCCUUACUACAACAGUGUGCUGCCUUCCAGGAGCCUCAGUGAAGCACAUCACUGAGAACGUGGACAGGCUCCUGGAACGAACAGGGGAUGACCCGGUAGUAGUCGUCCACAUUGGUACAAACAACAUUGGUAGAGACAGGCCAAGAUCCCUGCAAUACAAAUUCAGAGAGCUAGGAAGGAAUUUAAAAGACAAGAUCAAAACUGUGGUAUUUUCUGGGACACUGCCGGAGCCUUGCAAAGGACCAUAUGGACAGCUGGAAAUACAAAAUCAAAAUGCGUGGCUGAAAUCGUGGUGCACACAGGAAGGCUUCACCUUUCUUGAACAUUGGAGCACUUUCUACAACAAGGACUAUUUAUACAGGUGGGAUGGACUGCACUUAAACAGAAAGGGAACCAAUCUACUCGGAGAAAGGAUCCUUCAGGGGGUCCAGAAGCAUUUAAACUAGAAAGGAAGGGGGGAGAAAACAAAAAAACAGAAGGGAGACCACAUCAAAACAAGGGCAACAACUCAGGUAAGACCACUAUUAAAUGUAUUUAUCUUAAUGCUAGAAGUCUCAGAAACAAAAUGUUAGAACUUGAAGCUACUGCACUAACAAGUAACUACGAUGUGAUAGGUGUUACAGAAACUUGGUUGUCUGAGAGUGAUGGAGAUGAAUAUAAUAUUAGUGGGUACACAUAUAGGAAAGACAGGCAGGACAGAAGAGGCGGAGGGGUAGCGCUAUACAUAAGAAAUAGCCUUGAAGCCCAGGUGUUAAA